rnacentral:rRNA from 1 species
UACGUAGGUGGCGAGCGUUGUCCGGAUUUACUGGGCGUAAAGGGAGCGUAGGCGGACUUUUAAGUGAGAUGUGAAAUACCCGGGCUCAACUUGGGUGCUGCAUUUCAAACUGAAAGUCUAGAGUGCAGGAGAGGAGAAUGGAAUUCCUAGUGUAGCGGUGAAAUGCGUAGAGAUUAGGAAGAACACCAGUGGCGAAGGCGAUUCUCUGGACUGUAACUGACGCUGAGGCUCGAAAGCGUGGGGAGCAAACAGGAUUAGAUACCCCGGUA